UCAAGGCUGCUUUUUCGCAAGUGGAGGCAAUUGAAAGACGCAUGUGUAACUGGGCAACCCAGCCGAAAAUCAAGGUGGAAUUAUUCUGCAGGCGGCUUGCAUCCACCAGUGCACAAGAAGUCGUCGACGAUUUUGUCAACCCGUAUGAAUCCAGCAAUCUUGCCCGCACCUACCCGUGUGUUGUUGAACUGAAAUCUAAUGUAAGCACGUAAGCUAAUCUAAGUAAAUGUAAGCACAUCGAAGUGAUUUUCUACUAGCACACAUAAAAAAAUUAAACGGUGAAUCAAAAUAGAACGGUGAAUUAAAAUUAAAAAAAACGGUGCAAGCGAGCUGGCGUACUGUAGAAGAGAAAUUUCCUUGCGCUUCAGGAACACACUAGACGAUCAGGACGAGAAAAACACAAACAAACAAUGAAGCUGGUUUGAGUUUUGUGUCAUCCACAUCAUCCUGCAUGUCCCUAAAACUAAGGAAAACAUUACCUCUUUCCCUACGUUAAACGGGUUGAGCAGCAAAAAUUUAUUUGACAAGGAAUGCCAAC